rnacentral:rRNA from 1 species
CACGUAGGGCGCAAGCGUUGUCCGGAAUUAUUGGGCGUAAAGAGCGUGUAGGCGGCCAGAUAAGUCCGCUGUGAAAUCUCGAGGCUCAACUUCGAGCUGUCGGUGGAAACUAUCUGGCUAGAGUCCGGAAGAGGAGAAUGGAAUUCCUGGUGUAGCGGUGAAAUGCGUAGAUAUCGUAAGGAAGACCAGUGGCGAAGGCGGGUCUCUGGACAGUUCCUGACGCUGAGGCACGAAGGCCAGGGGAGCAAACGGG